GCAGUAAUUCACACAUAAUGAAACAAAAGUUUCACUAGAUAAUUGUUGUAAUAUAAGGUGUACUUACUUGUAUAGCUUACGUUUUGUUUUUAUUGUGGUAAAAUAUACAUAACAUAAAAUGUAUCACUUUACCCAUCUUUAAGUGCUCAGUACAGUAGCAUUAAGUACCACCACAUUGUUGUGUAGCCAUUACUGCUAUUCAUCCACAGAACUUUUUCAUCAUCCCAAACAGAAACUGCACCCAUGAAACACUAACUCCCUAUUCCGCGAUACCCCGUCCCCUGGUAAACUUUAAUUCUACUUUCUGUUUCUAUGAGUCUUCUUCUAGUUACUUCACGUUAGUGGAAUCACCCACUGUCUUUUUGUGUCUGGAUUCUUUCUUUCUUUCUUUCUUUUUUUAGAUGGAGUUUCACUCUUGUGGCCCAGGCUGGAGUGCAAUGGUGCGAUCUCGGCUCACCACAACCUCUGCCUCCUGUGUUCAAGUGAUUCUCCUGCCUCAGCCUCCUGAGUAGCUGGGAUUACAGGUUCCCGUCCAUAAAAUGGGCACACAUCUAUUCCUGCAGUACAAUUGGUGCGAGAAUUAGAAAUAACCUAUGGAAAGGAGUCCAUCUUAUGGGGAAACUGAGGUUCAGAGAAAAAAGUAUUUUGCUUAAGGUCACGCAGCUCAUAAGUGGUGAAGACAAGACUUGAAUCUGAAUCUGUAAUGCCCAAAUCCUUGACCUUUCCACCACUGGCCCACUGGAGAGGCCUGUUCUGCUGACCCCAGGUGUCCGGAGAAGUAGCUUCCCCUCCAGUCCUUCUAGGAACACUGCCUGCAAGAAGGGCUUGAGCUUCUGUGGUCCCGGUGAGUUUCCAAGCUCCAAAGGAUACGGGGGUUAGAGGAAGAAGGCUAAGGAUAUUGCUGUGUGUGUGUGUGUGUGUGUGUGUGUGUGUGUGUUUGUACUAGUUUCUCAUGUUUGUGUGGGUGAGGGAGACACUGAGAAUAAUAUGAAUCAUAAUUUUGAUAAUAUUUGGUAAUAAUCACAGUGGUAAUAAAGGUUGCUAACACUUGUUGGCACUUACCAUGUCCC
rnacentral:lncRNA from 1 species